rnacentral:tRNA from 1 species
ACCCUCCUUGCAUAAUGGAGAUGCAGAGGCCUUCUAAGCCCCUUAUAGGAGUUCGAUUCUCUUGGAGGGUA